UACAUUUUAGUAUAUGUGUAUAAAAGUUUUUGAUACUUUUGGGAAUAGAGAAGUCUAUUAAAUGUAA
rnacentral:tRNA from 1 species